GACAGAGGGCGCAAACGUUGUUCGGAAUUACUGGGCGUAAAGCGUGUGUAGGCGGCCACGUAAGUCGGAUGUGAAAGCCCCGGGCUCAACCCGGGAAGUGCACUCGAUACUGCGUGGCUUGAGUACUGGAGAGGUUGGUGGAAUUCUCGGUGUAGAGGUGAAAUUCGUAGAUAUCGAGAGGAACACCGGUGGCGAAGGCGGCCAACUGGACAGAUACUGACGCUGAGACACGAAAGCGUGGGGAGCAAACAGG
rnacentral:rRNA from 1 species